UCCUAGUAGCAUAAAUCUAGAGAAAAAGCUUAGUUUAAUUGCCGGAUUUUUUUAUCUCGCAUUAUUAAUUGGUGAACGUAUAAUAUCUGUAUAAAUCACAUAUCCGAAUAACUGGCAAAUUCAUGUUUUAAGCCUUAUUUUUCGACAAAUUUAAAAAUUGAGAUACGAAUUUUAUUCGAUUUAUACCCGUAUCAAAUUUUUGCCGAAUUCGAAUUAACUAACUAUAAUUUAAAAACUCUUAUUAU
rnacentral:lncRNA from 1 species